CGAGGCGCGUGUCCCUAUACGCAGCUCUAAACGAGCAGUGACGGAGUUGGCUGCUGUUACAUAUAUCGGAAUUUCGACACGACUAUCUGAUUCCCACUUUUCUUCUUGACAGAGCGUACCUGCAUUGGUGUCUCCUAUAACGGCAAGACUGUAUCGCUGUUGAAAAUGAAGUACGCAAUUCUGGUUGUUCUCGUAUUGGGAUUGAUGGUAACAGAGUCUAUGGGUACAGCUGUAUGUGGCCUAGCUAACCCGUCACAAGACUGUGCUUUAUGCCUCAAAGCAGGAUUUAUCACAGACGCGGCUGCCUGCGCCCAUGGUAGAGAUGCAUGCAAAUUAUGCGAAGAUCGACUGCGGUCAUUAUAGUUAUGUAUAUCAUAUAUAUUGUGAAGAUAUCUAUAUAUCAUCUAUAUACAAGCUAUCGUCCAACUACCAGUCCCAAAGAAGCUUCUAGUAAUGCACAAUGCGAUAUACAUUACGUCAUUCAACUAGCACCAGUCUCCGUGAAACCAUAGACAAUUAUAACCCGUACCCAACCCAUGUGUUCCGCAUAUGCGUAGAAAUCGUUCAAUAAAGUUCAUUAAAAUGUAAAUAAA